rnacentral:rRNA from 1 species
CGAACGGGUGAGUAAUGCGUGACCAACCUGCCCCAUGCUCCAGAAUAGCUCUUGGAAAACGGGUGGUAAUGCUGGAUGCUCCAACUUGACGCAUGUCUUGUUGGGAAAGUGUUUAGUGGCAUGGGAUGGGGUCGCGUCCUAUCAGCUUGUAGGCGGGGUAAUGGCCCACCUAGGCUUCGACGGGUAGCCGGCCUGAGAGGGCGGACGGCCACAUUGGGACUGAGAUACGGCCCAGACUCCUACGGGAGGCAGCAGCC